rnacentral:rRNA from 1 species
GCGCGAAACCUCCGCAAUGUGAGAAAUCGCGACGGGGGGACCCCAAGUGCCAUUCUUAACGGGAUGGCUUUUCUUAAGUGUAAAAAGCUUUUGGAAUAAGAGCUGGGCAAGACCGGUGCCAGCCGCCGCGGUAACACCGGCAGCUCUAGUGGUGGCCAGUUUUAUUGGGCCUAAAGCGUUCGUAGCCGGUUUAUUAAGUCUCUGGUGAAAUCCCGUAGCUUAACUAUGGGAAUUGCUGGAGAUACUAGUAGACUUGAGGUCGGGAGAGGUUAGAGGUACUCCCAGGGUAGGG